ensembl:lncRNA
CGCUUGUGGUGGUCGUAGAGCAAAACUGAGAACACCAUCAUGUCUAUGAGAGUCUCAUCCCAAACAGAUGUUUUUGUGAGAAGACCUAUUUUCGUGAUGUCUGCUGGUCUGACAAACAGCCCUGUAGCUCUGCCACUUUCCACCACCAAUGCAGAAGGCCGAAAUGUGGUGGAUUGAGACGCAUCCCAUACAAAACACCAGAUACAUCUCGAGUUUAAACCAUAGGCUUAAAUAGACAGAUUUUGAAGGGGAUUUUUUUAUGAUGUCAAUCCUAGUAAAUGACUAGCUGUAGUAGACAGAGACGCAUGGAAUUAGAGUAGUUUAGUAUUACCCAUUAGGCUCUCUCUCCACAGGGACCUCAACUUAACAUUGUUGUCUUUCUUUUCCUUUCUGUUUUUCAUACAUUUUUAUUCCAUCUCUCUUUCCCUAAUUGCAUGGUUGCGUAGUUUUACCUAUUUGUUUUUCUGUUCUCCCUCCUUUCAGUCCAUCUGUCUCUCCAUGAUAGCUUAUUGGACAGAGGUACAGCUCAGGUGAGUAUGUGGGUGUGUUGUGUGUGGCUGUGUGUGUGUGUUUCUUAGAUUGUGUGUGUAACGCUGACGCCCCUGACGCCCAGUGACAGUGGAAGGAGAGGUGAGGGGAGGCAGCCAGUGAUGGACGGGUAUCAGGAGGGAUUAGUGGUAAAGGUAGGCAGGCGUGUUCUCUCUCUGUCUAGGCGGAUUUCAAUCUGUCUCUUUCUCUCUCUGCAGUUACACAGCACCGACCCUGUUUGAACUGCUAGUGCCUCAUCUCAUCUCCCUCCAAACAACUGACUGCUGUCAUCUUCCAUGGCUCUGUAAUAUUUGUGUGUGUGUGUGUCUGUGUGGGUGUCAGUUUAUCGCCCUCUGUCCGUGUGUGUGUGUUUGUCUGUGAGAGAAAGUGAUUCAGUUUCUCUUUCCCUGCGAUGCCACUGCUGCCUAAGGAGGCAGAACGAUUCGAUGGGCUAUCUCUACUUUAUUGGACUAUCAUGGGACCUCACGGCAUCAACCGGGCCAUCGAGAGAUUGGAGUUCUGUGACUGCAAGAAAGGACUGGGGUUGAAAAUCAUAGGUGGCUACAGAGAUCAAACACGGGAAGAGUUUGGGAUCUUCAUCAAGCGGGUGUUACCGGGAGGUCUGGCUGCUCAGGAUGGUACGUUAAUGUCUGGUUGUUGUUGUUUUUUUGUUUUGUAUCAUUUACUACUAUAUUGAUAAUAGGGCUGUCAAAGUUAAAGCAUUAAUUACAGUUAACUUUUGACAUUUUUAAUGCUGUAAUUUUUUUGAAGCUGUUAAUGGCAUCUCCAUUUCUUCACCCAAGUCUGUUUACUCAUGGACCCUUUUAAGCGCAGCACACACACACACACUCUGCUGUGCUCAUUGAGGUGUAAUAUUAACUGGGUCCAAGGUAUGGACCAUCUAUAUCCAGGUUGCAUCCAGUUUAUACAGACAAACAUUUUAAUUUAGCACUCAGUGCGCACAGCGAGCAGCGCGAGCAGCAACAUCAUCCCAAAAAAUGGCAGACAUUGGAUGAAUAUAACAUUUUAAUAUCUUCGGCUGUGAGUGAUGGAAAAAAAAUUGACCUCAGCGACAAUUAUUUGAAUAAUUCAAUGGAUGUUUUGUGCAAAAAAGUGAUGUCUAAAGUGUCUUAUUAGGAAUUUUCUGACUUCUGACUUCUCUAUGUGGCCGUCUAUGGAAAUUGUCUUUCUGGGCCGGGUGUCAGUUAAACUGCAGUACCAAAGCAAAACUGUAGGAGCUGUCUAAACCGUGCUUCUAGACCAGAACACUGCCCUCCUUGGCUGUGCUGUGUGCUCUUAGUCUUAGCAGAUAACAGCUCCUGGAGAGCUGCCACUAUGCGUGCAGCAUUUGAGCAACAAUUUCGAAGGAAAACUUACAGAAAGUUCAAUCAUCAACACAUUCUCAGGCAUUUCUUUGAAUAACAGCAAAAACGUAAUUUGCACAGAAGUAGCUAACUAGUUAUGCUAAUGUUAGCUAGCUAGCUAACCAAACGAGAAUGUUUACAAUGCCAUGGCUGAAUGCUUCUUGAUUUAACUCUAAUUUCCCACAAUUAUUUGAUCAGAACAGGACAUCCAUUCCAUUUAGCUACUGCUUUUGUUGUAGUUCUCAGGUCAAAACAUUUAAAGUAACUAUCCAGUGUUUCCACAUUUCUAUGAAAUACCAAAGGAAAUAAAAAAUAAGAGUGAUAUACUUUUCCUUCCAAUUUUGUAUGUUAAAAAUCUGCUUUUCUGUGUUGGAAUGGUGUGGCUUCCUCAGGAAGAUGACAUCAUGAAACAGUCUGUUCGAGAUACAAGUUUGAGGUGGAGUUUUUUCUCCAAUGUAUGCUUUGGCCACAAAAACGAGUAUAGGAUGAGUCGACAGCAUUAUUUGGGUAUGAGUUUUAAAAGUGUGAUUUUCCCUGGACAAUUACUUUAAGCAAAUUAUCCAAAUUCUUUUAGUAGCAGCUUGUAACUAGUUCAUGUUGAGGAACAUGAAUAAGUAACCUAGCUUAGGCCAUAUUUAAUAGUUGUAUUAUAUUACACCUGCCGAAUAGCGCAGGUGUAGUAGACCUUACCGUGCAAUGCUUAAUUACAUGCUCUUAAAAACCUGUUGAAACUAGGGGGCACUAUAAUAAUUUUUGGAAAAAUAACGUUCCCAAAGUAAACGGGCUAUUUUGUCAGGACAAGAUGCUAGAAUAUGCAUAUAAUUGACAGCUUAGAAUAGAAAACACUCUAAAGUUUCCAAAACUGUAAAAAUAUUGUCUGUGAGUAUAACAGAACUGAUAUUGCAGGCAAAAGCCUGAGAAAAAUCCAAUCAGGAAGGGACUCUUAUUUAGAACGCUCUGUGUUCCUAUGCGUCCCUAUUGAGCAGUGAAUGGGAUAUCAACCAGAUUCCUUUUUCUAUGGCUUCACUAAUGUGUCUAGUGUCACAAUACAUAGUUUCAGGCUUUUAUUUUGAAAAAUGAGCCUGAACGACAACAUUGCGUCAGUGGUCAGCUGAAGGCUCUCAGAGUGAUUUGUGCAUAAUAGACAAAUGCGACCAUUGUUUCUCUCUUUCCUACUAAGAAGCCACCUGUCCCGGUUGAUAUAUUAUCGAAUAGAUAUUUGAAAAACACCUUGAGGAUUGAUUAUAAAAAACGUUUGCCAUGUUUCUGUCGAUAUUAUGGAUCUAAUUUGGAAUAUUUUUCGGCGUAGUUUCCGGUGGAUUUCUCAACCAAACGUGAAGUACAAACGGAGGUAUUUCGGCUAUAAAAAUAAUCUUUAUGGGACAAAAUGAACAUUUGCUGUCUAACUGGGAGUCUCGUGAGUAAAAACAUCCAAAGCUCAUCAAAGGUAAACAAUUUAAUUUGAUUGCUUUUCUGCUUUUCGUGACCAAGCUGCCUGCUGCUAGCUAGGCAUAAUGCUAUGCUAUCGAUAAACUUACACAAAUGCUUGUCUUGCUUUGGCUGUAAAGAGGAGGAGAUCUGCAGGAAUGGGCCAAAAUACCAGCAACAGUGUGUGAAAACCUUGUGAAGACUUCGUUUGACCUCUGUCAUUGCCAACAAAGGGUAUAUAACAAAGUAUUGAGAAACUUUUGUUAUUGACCAAAUACUUAUUUUCCACCAUCAUUUGCAAAUUAAUUCAUUAAAAAUCCUACAAUGUGAUUUUAUGGAUUUUUUUUCUCAUUUUGUCAUAGUUGAAGUGUACUUAUGAUGAAAAUUACAGGCCUCUCUCAUCUUUUUAAGUGGGAGAACAUGCACAAUUGGUGGCUGACUAAAUACUUUUUUGCCCCACUGUAUAUCACCCUCGUCACACCCUGACCUAACCAAAAGAAUAAAGAAAACAAAGAAUACUAAGGUCAGGGCGAGACGGGUGGGUCAAUGUAAAUAGUCUAGGUGGCCAUUUGAUUAAUUGUUCAGCAGUCUUAUGGCUUGGGGGUAGAAGCUGUUAAGGAGCCUUUUGCUCCAAGACUUGCCGCUACGGUACCGCUUGCCGUGCGGUAGCAGAGAGAACAGUCUAUGACUUGGGUGACUGGAGCUUUUGACAUUUUUUGGGGCCUUCCUCUGACACCGCCUAGUAUAUAGGUCCUAUAUAGAACCCGGUGACGUACUGGGCCUUACACACUUCCCUCUGUAGCGCCUGAUGGUCAGAUGCAGAGCAGUUGCCAUACCAAGCGGUGAUGCAACCGGGUGAUUAACUCAAUAUUCUGUUUUAUGUCGUUUGACAGCCCUAGUUGAUAAACAUCCUCUGUUGCUGAUGAUGGCAAAAUGCUCUCUCUCUCUCUACUCCAGGACGGCUUAGAACGGGCGACCUCGUUUUGGAAGUCAAUAAUAUGAGUUUAGGAGGACGAGUAACCAAUGAGAGGUAGGUCAGUAGUGCACAAUGGUAGACUCUGAACCUAAGAUGUGAAUGACGCUAUACUAGAUUUCUUGUUUAUUCUUACUGAUCCUUAACUUAUUAGUCUCUAAAGCAUGUUUCAUUGACUUUUGUCUUUCAAACAUGUUUUCAAUCAAUCAAAUCAAAUUAAUAUAUGAAGCCCUUUUUAUAUCAGCAGAUGUCAAAGUGCUAUACAGAAACCCCAAACAGCAAGCAAUGCAGACAUAGAAGCACGGAAAAAAAUCUACUUGAAUGCCACACGUUGCAUAAAAAAACAACUGGAUUUUGUACAUAGAGGGCUAUGAUGUGUAUGUCUACUGUAUUUACAGUGCAUUGGGAAAGUAUUCAGACCCCUUGACUUUUUCCACAUUUUGUUACGUUACAGCCUUAUUCUAAAAUGGUUUAAAUCGUUUUUACUCCCCUCAUCAAUCUACACACAAUACCCUAUAAUGGCAAAGCAAAAACAGGUUCUUCAAGAUUUUUGCAAAUGUCUAAAAAAAAAUGUUUACAUAAGUAUUCAGACCCUUAAAUUUGUUGAAACACCUUUGGUAGCGAUUACAGCCUCGAGU